GAAAACAAACAGGCAGAAUUUUUUUUUUUAAUUUUUAUUCUGGACCACUUUUAGUUUUAUAGUUUUAUUUUAUAGAAUAAUGUAGAUUGAUACAGGAUAACUUAUUAAUAAAUAAUAUCUUGAGUGUAAAUCAGAUGAAAUAGUAAAGAAUACGCGAAAAUAUCUGUGGCAUUUGCAUUUUUACAACAGCUGGUUUAUGAGGUUCGCAGCAUCUUAUUCGAUUAUCUGUACAAGAUGCUUGUCUGCCUUCUAUUUCAGUGUAUUGUUCCGUGAACAUUCGCAAACUUCUUGGACAUAAUUGUGGCAGAAGACACAAACAUGUUGGAUUUUUAUCUUUCGGAGCACGUUACUCCUGAACCAAAAUGUCACUCUCGUCACCAGGAUCCAGAAUCAGUUCUUGGAAUGGCAUUUAAUAGAAAAAGGAUACUGAACCAAGCUGUAAAUAUUACGAUGGAAACGUAUAACAUGAAUGACGUUCAAAAAUGACGGAAUGCUUGAAGAAAAGUUUUCUGGAAAUGUGGCAUAUAAAUAAUGAUUUCAAUGGAAGUUUAGCCUUGUGGUAUGCCGACUCGAGACUGGAAACGUGCGAUCAAUGUGGAAAUGAUAAGGAUGAAGAUUACACUCAUGCCAACUAUAACUCGAUCGUGAAACAACUAAAGCCGAUAAAAUCGUUCCUCUCUGUAAAGAUUUGUUUGCUACGGUCGGUGCUAAAGAAAAAUCAGUCGCUGAUAAACAAGAACUGCCUUUUUGAAAGCAUUAAAAGAUGCUGUAGUUACAUAAACGUAGAAUUCGUGAUCUGAAGCUAUAGGCCAUUUUCAUCGAGAGACUGAUUAUCAAUGAUGGUGAACAUCGUCUUUUCUGCUCCUAGUCUGAUUCUGAACUGUUCAGUACAGCUACCAAAUACCGUGAACCGAGCUCGUUCAACGAUGAAAUAAUAGCUGAUGUUUUGCAAAUGCCGUUCAUUUUUUAAGCAUGUGGAUCAGUUUUUGAGAAUUUCUUCAGAAGGUCGUUGAAAUGGAGCAGAUGGUUCGAAGACGAGGUACAAAUUGUUGAACUCGUUGUACCGAAUUUCUAGAUGAUACGAAUACUCUGCUGAAAGUGCUGAAGGUGGAUAUUUUUUGUUGUGAACAUUGCUGGUGACAAUGGUCUGUUAUAUCAUAUGGUUCAAUAGUGAGAGCUUUAUCGGAACAUUUUGUCAAAUCGUUCCAGCCUUUAAACACAAUUUUCCAACACCUCACGAUAUCAUGGUUUCUAAAAAUGCCACAUCAGUGUACGUCGCUAGAUUAACACCAAACAGAAUAUGGAAAUUUAAAAUGAGUGGUUUAAAUAUCAAUCCUCAAUCCUCCUGACGCGAUUUCAAAAUCAAACGAUUACGAAUUACCAUACCUUACGCAAGGUAACAAACUUAUCGCGGAUGGUAAAUCAUCGGGGACCCUAGUAAUGGCUAUGAUUAUAACAGUGGCUGUUCUUUGUUUUGGAGCUGUAUUGUUAAUCGCAGCGUUGAUAUAUUCGCGAGCCAGAACGCAUGGUAGGUCUUUAUCUUUAGAAGAUCUUAUGCUAGCUUGAGCCAAGAUACAUUUAUUCGCAAUAAGUGCUUCUACCAAGUUUUAUAUUUAUAGCGGAUUUACGUACCGUGUCCUCAAAGGUUAAGUCGUUGCGUUAUUGUGAUCUUUGUUUGUAAUAUUUUUUUCGUAUAGUUUUUGUGUAUCAUGUAUCUGAUUUUUUUUUUUUUUUUGAUGGUACGAGUAGCUAUGACUCGUUUACUUGAGAAAAAAUAUAUGUUUGAUGUUUUACA